rnacentral:rRNA from 1 species
AUUGAACGCUGGCGGCAGGCUUAACACAUGCAAGUCGAACGGUAACAGGAAGAAAGCUUGCUUUCUUUGCUGACGAGUGGCGGACGGGUGAGUAAUGCUUGGGAAUCUGUUUCAUGGAGGGGGAUAACUACGGGAAACUGUAGCUAAUACCGCGUAAUAUCGAGAGAUUAAAUGUGUGGGACCGUAAGGCCACAUGCCAUGAAGUGAGCCCAAGUGGGAUUAGAUAGUUGGUGAGGUAAUGGCUCACCAAGUCGGCGAUCUCUAGCUGGUCUGAGAGGAUGACCAGCCACACUGGGACUGAGACACGGCCCAGACUCCUACGGGAGGCAGCAGUGGGGAAUAUUGCACAAUGGGCGCAAGCCUGAUGCAGCCAUGCCGCGUGAAUGAAGAAGGCCUUCGGGUUGUAAAGUUCUUUCGGUGGUGAGGAAGGUUGACGUGUUAAUAGCACGUUGAUUUGACGUUAGCCACAGAAGAAGCACCGGCUAACUCCGUGCCAGCAGCCGCGGUAAUACGGAGGGUGCGAGCGUUAAUCGGAAUAACUGGGCGUAAAGGGCACGCAGGCGGUGACUUAAGUGAGGUGUGAAAGCCCUGGGCUUAACCUAGGAAUUGCAUUUCAUACUGGGUCGCUAGAGUAUUUUAGGGAGGGGUAGAAUUCCACGUGUAGCGGUGAAAUGCGUAGAGAUGUGGAGGAAUACCCGAAGGCGAAGGCAGCCCCUUGGGAAUAUACUGACGCUCAAUGUGCGAAAGCGUGGGGAGCAAACAGG